UAAUAUUCUUAUAAGAGCCCCCUAGUUCUAAUUUUGAGAGCGCCCAGGGCACUUAUUACAUCAAAUACGGUACAUACCGGGUAUAUUUAUAUAUAUAUACAGUACUCAACUUUUGGUAGGGAUAGGCAGUAUCCAGGUUGGGUCAGAAUAUGCCUGACUGCUUGGAUAUGUUGUCACACGAAUAGCAUUUGAAUUUGCACUGGAACUGAAGAAAUGCAGCUUCAUUUCCUGUUGAUUAAACAGAAUCGCUGUAUAAAAUAUCAGUAUCCCUAUAAAAAGUUGAGUCGUAUAUAUAUGCCUUUUGAUAGUUUGGGAUUUUCCAUGGCAAUGACUUUCAUUUAGACUGAAAAUGGCGAUAGUGCUCGUUUCCGGACCAGAUCUUGAAAACCGUACAAUAUUUCUUGCCUUGCACACAACUGGACAUGUCAUAUUGGCAGGGGAUAUGAGUAUGUCAUGCUUGUUGCUAUUGUAUUGAGACAUGACCACAGGAUACAAUACUUGUAUAAUGGUACAAAGUAUCUUCCUACACCAAGACUUUAGAUGGAUCAGUACAGCCCUAACCCUUAUUUUGUUCUGUAGGCAUGCUGGAGGGUGCAUGAGCUGUUAUUGUUUUAGCCCCUGUACUCAUAGUCUGUCAUCUUGUGAAACACAAUGCUGCCACACUGUAAUUGCUCAAUAGCCGUGAUACUCAAGUGUGAUGUUGAUCUCACACAGAUUAAAUCAGGUAAACUCCCAUUCAACGCUGAAUGGUUACCUUCAGGUCGGAUUCAGAACAGGGACAGAAUUAGAAAGAGAAAGCCAGAGCCUCAUUUUCAAGGUAUUCUAUGGGCGAGUAAACAUAUUGCUAUUAAUGAGUGCUUAAAAAAUGGAGUUUUAUUUCCUUGGAACAUCAGGUUAUCUUUCCAGUGAUCUAAUCAGAGCCAUGUGUUCAAAGGGAGACAACUGUCUUGCCAUCUCUGCAAGAAUCCAAACAACUUGAUGCAAAUAUUGAAUGUUACAAAGUUAUAUACUAGUAUUUACAUGAACUGUUACAUCUUGUGCAUCAAUUUUUAAGUCCGGUGUUUAGUAAAGUCUCCUAGCUCAGUUCAAUCUUCUUGGAGGAAGGGGAAGAGGCUCAACCUGUCUUCUCCUUUGCUGGACGGAACAAGAACGUGGUGAUACCAUUUACAUGGCAUUGUUACAGGAGGAAGAAACAUGAAAAAGGAACAAUUGUUACCAAGGUCAUGUGGAAAUGUUGAAGACUUCUUUUUGCCACAGACACAGGUUGAUGGGAAUAAAGAAUCAUACCACCAUGGAAAUGGCUAUUUAGAGAUGUCGGCACUGGCCUCGAAUAUGUCGGGCCGACGGGAUGUUGUCGAGCUAAUUUGUGUAGUUGAUGCAGUAGGCUUCAGGCGCUCUACAGACACCACAGGAUGUCACCAUAAUGCUGAAGACAGCAGAUCUAAAUGUCACUGGCAGUUGUGAUCAGAUGUAACUGACAGUAUUGCAUAUUCUAAGAAAAAGGACCUAGUCAAAAAGAUUUUUCCAGGGCAAUGAACAAGCAUCCUGAUGUAACUCUACAAAACACAGUGUCUACAGCAUAAUGUGUGACUACUUUAGCAAGCAAUUGGAUACAAUCACUUGUCAAGGACUGACACAGCUGCAAUCAAAGGCACUGAAGGAGCUGCAAGAGAAGUCGAUGUUUCCCUAGUUACGAUCAACCCAUGUCAACAACCUCACUCAUCUCACAUGAUGAAGCCUCAAAUAGUUUAUGCGGCCUCGACUGUCAGAAUACAAGAUAAAUACUGUACAGCCUAUAUCAUACAAUGAGAGCUUCUCAUUGACCUCAGUAAGACAAGAUAAGCACUUCACUAUGCCUGAAUGCAGGCAAGAUGAGAGUCGCACAUUGUCACACAUUAAAAGAGCCUCGCAUUAUGUCCGAUUCCCAGCAGGUUCUGGUGUAAAGAGGAACCUGAAGAACAACCAGGAUGUUUUCAGUGUGAUGUACUCAAAGACCAUCAAAGCUUCACAUUUGUGGAUAGACUACAUCUGUUCCUUUGUUGUAUUGCUUGGGACCUUAUGCAUUUCACUGAAUUUUCCAAUACUUUUAAAAAUUUACACGGAUCAUGAUCCAUUGUUUUCAUUGAUAGUGUACUGUAGUGUACAGACAGGGAUAUUGGAGAUUUGUCGAGUAUCAUGAAGACCUCUUCCUUAACAGACAGUUGUUGAUAACAGUAUUUUGUGUUAUUGUUUUUGGCUAAUACUGCACCUUGGGUUUUUAGGAUGUGAAGAUAUCUUUGAAAACUUGUUGCUUGAUUAUUUUGCACAAACCUUUUUUUCGUCAUGGAUAUGUACAUACUGGAAUGAAAGCUUUGAUUUUGAACAUGUUUGUGUACAUAAAUCAAAGAUACCAGUCUGUGGUACAACACACUGCUGUGUGUGGGCAGUGUCUGUGGUACAACACCCUGCUGUCUGUGGGCAGUGUCUGUGGUACAACACUCUGCUGUCUGUGGGCAGUGUCUCUAGUGCAGUACACUCAUGUCUAGUGGGCAGUGUCUGUAAUACAGUGCUCUGAUGUCUGGUGGUCAGUGCUUGUGGUACAGUGCGCUGAUGUCCCGUUGAACCUGGCUGAGAGGUCAGUUCCUUUGUAGAAGCUGCCCAUCUAUUGGAGAAAUCUUGUACCGAGCAGUCCAGCAGGCUUUAGAGUUGCGGUAUUCAACAGAACCUGUUACACAAUUUAGUUUGAUGAAAGUGUCUCUUCCCAGUUUGUUUCCCAAAAAUAAAAGAACUUUAAAGAAG